CCGAGAGCAACAAAGAGAAGGAGGUGGGUGAUCGGUGGCCAGAUUCCUGCAUGCAAACGGAGUUUCAGAAUCAGGCUAGUGGGUCAAAGGGCAAGAGCGUGGUGUUUGCUGAUAUUUAAAAAGGUUGGGAAGCUGGAGAACUUAAUUUGUUGGUCACCAAGUUUAUUUAGGAUAUUCUAGUUAUAUUUUGUUAGCCACAUGAGGCUAUGCUUUUGUGUAUAAUUAUAUGUAAUUAUGUAAAGUACAUAUGGGCUGUAUUUACCUCUAUAAAGAGGAAAGUGGUGGCUAUGUUGCCAGCAAGUAAGUGCCAUCACCUUUGAUGGCUGCUUAUUAGUAGAUAAAUGUUUAGUUGUUACUUUGAAGUCAAAUAUUUAUGGUUUAGUA